rnacentral:rRNA from 1 species
UACGGGGGGGGCAAGCGUUGUUCGGAAUUACUGGGCGUAAAGGGUGCGUAGGCGGGGCUUUAAGUCAGGGGGGAAAUCCUGGAGCUCAACUCCAGAACUGCCUUUGAUACUGAGGAUCUUGAGUUCGGGAGAGGUGAGUGGAACUGCGAGUGUAGAGGUGAAAUUCGUAGAUAUUCGCAAGAACACCAGUGGCGAAGGCGGCUCACUGGCCCGAUACUGACGCUGAGGCACGAAAGCGUGGGGAGCAAACAGG